UCAUUGUGCAUACUUCUACACAGCUGAAAACGUUUUAGAAAACGGGGAUUUGGGUUUUAAUAAGAGAUGCAUAUACUAAGUGGCUAAAUGGUUUCACUGAAAAGUUUUUUGAUUGUGUAUAUAUAAACCCUUGAACGUACGUAAUACGUUAAAUCAAUAAGGUAAUUUAUUAAUUUAGAUGAAACUCAAAAGGAUAUCUCCAUCCAUGACUUCGGUGGCGAUUAAUUAUGGUGGUGCUUCUCCUGAGGAGGCGUUUCUGGCCGGUCCCACUGCUCUAUAUGGGCCUUGGGUUCAAGGGAUGUAUACGGUCACGGGUUGUUGUGUUGGAGGCAGCAAUCUUCAACGCUCUUCGGCGAACGACGGCAUCGUCGGUUGCGAGAUCCUCUUCGUGCUGCCGGUUAGGUGUUUCUUGGGUUAGCUAGCGUGUCCGGGAUGUGAUUCUUUGGGCAGUUUAUGGGGUUUGAGUUUUUCGGAAGCUGUAGGAACCGUGUGUUUCAAGGUUUGAGAGCGCCUUUCUCUCUGGUAGCUCGCGGCGACUGGUAGCUCUUUCUGUUAUUGACUCGUCUUCUGGUCCGUCAGGUUUACGUUACAGUCUCGUUCAGAGUCUGCUGCUCCGUUGCUUCAUUUAGUUUUUUCGUUGCGUAGAUCCUUUGUGUUUAGUUUAUUUAUGUUUCAACCGCUACUAGUUUUCUGUGUGCUGUCUGUAAAAAAUUGAAAACUUGGUAUAAUAAUUUAACAUUUUACCAAGAAAAAAAAAUUAUUUUUCAAAAAAUACUAUUAUUUUAUACAAUAUAGUUAUACAAUUAAAUUUUAAUUUUUCAAAAUUGAACCAACCUAUAAAUAUACAAGUGUUUUGUGGGGUUUUUAUGGGUAUCAUUUUUUCAUCCUCUCUUUGCUUUUUCACUACUUCAAAAUAUAAUAUUCAUUUUAAAAUCUCUUGAAAACUUUUUAAUAGACAUGUUCUAAGAACACCAUUAUCCAUAAAUCUCUAUAAAUGAAUAUACACAUUACUAUUUUAAGAUAAACUAAUUAUGUAAUUAAAUUUUAUUAUUUAAAAUGAAUUUUACCAUUUAGAAUGAGACAAGUGGCAUUAGAAUCUCUCAAAUUUAAAUGAAAGUCUCUCUAAAUAGAACUAUUUUUCAUUUUUCUAAGUUUUAUUCUCUUUAUUUUGAUUUUUAUUACUAUUUUACGAGAGUUUCUCACUAUAAAUAGUAAUAUGGGGGUUUACGAUUAUGUAGUAAUAAUUUAUUACUAUUAUUUUCUUUUAAACGAUAGAACUAUUUUUCAUUUUUUAUUUCUCGUUUAAACGAUUAUGUAGUAAUAUUAUAUAUAGAUAUAUUAUUUUAUUUUGUAAAGAAAUAUGGGUUUUAUAAUUUUCUCUUUUAGCUCCUUGGUAUAAAUUAUUUUCCUCCUAAAUUAAGUAAUCAACAAAGGGGUUAAUCUGGGGUUAAAGUAGGAUUGUCAUAAUCUGUCAAUGAUUAAAAAAAACACCAAAGGAUUUAGAUUUUUUUUAAUUAUUAUUUCUAGUAAAUUAGUGAAUAACAAAUGCUGACAUGUGUAUCACAUUUAGAUGAUCUAUUACCACUAUUUACAAUAUUUUGUUGACUAAUUAAUGUACACAUACGUACAUUCUAAAUUCAGUUAUCUGCAUUAUUUCUUUAUUUAAUCUUAAAAUUAGUUAUGAUGCUUACACAUCCGCAAAAAUAAAGCAAAAACAAAGCUACAAAUUACAAUGUUCCAAAACAUUUGUCAGCUAAUUUGAUAUGUUGUCUUCAUCCUCUAUUUAUUUAUUUUGUGGGUGAAAAAUGAAAUCUACACAUGUCAAAGUCUCGUUGUAUUUUUGACUAAUAUCCACAUCAAAUCAGUUAAAAGAUAAACAUUGCCUUGUUUGAUAUAAUACAUCAAAAAUUAAUUGACAAAGCUAUGAUCCACGGACAUUCGCCCUCGGUAUGCAUAUAUAACUUCAAUUCACAUGUUUCACACUAUCACAAAGUAUUUCCGUCAUAUAUGCCAUGGCGACGUAUCGCUUAAUUUUAUUAGGCUUCUUAAUCCUCUGUUUAAAUCUUUUGUUUGGUAAAAACACACAUAAAAUAUAACCUACCUCCGACCCCGACAAGACCAUAGCCUGUGAAUCGGACACCUCCACCUCCUUAAACUGCCGCUGCACAGCACAUUAUUGUCCCUUUCUAGAUCUCUUGGUGGUGCUGCAAUAUUCAGCCUCCGCCUCGGAAACAAACUCACGUUAUGAUACUUGCGGGGAGGCGAUCUCGAAUUUGCUAAACCAUCCAGAGAUAUUGAAAAAAGCAAGAACUGAAUCUGAUAUUAAAAAUCUCCCUUAUCUUGAAAACAUCGUAUCGGAGACCCUACGCCUAUACCCGGUAGCUCCGACUCUUCUCCCCUAUGUGGCAUCUGAGGACUGCAUGGUGGCAGGAUACGAUGUUCCACGUGGAACAAUGUUGUUGGUGAACGUAUGGGCCAUGCAUAGAGAUCCAUAUGUAUGGGAAGACCCGGAAAAAAUCAAACCAGAAAAGUUUGAGAAAAAAGGUGCGGAUUAAAAGUUGAUACCAUUUGGGAUUGGACGACAAGCUUGCCCCGGGUCUGGUUUAGCUCAACAGUUAGUGAACCUGGCUUUGGGAUCAUUGGUUCAGUGUUUCGAGUGGGAGAGAGUUGGAAAAGACUAUGUUGAUAUGAAAGAAGGAAGCAUGAUGCACCUAGCGACACCGAUGCAUGCCAUGUGUAAAGCUCGUCCCAUUGUUAACAUUCUCGACGCUUCCAUUUAAGUUUAGUCUCUAAUGUUUUAAUUUAUAUUCGAACAUACCUAAUCCUUCCUUAUGCAUAGAUAAUAAUGUUCUCAAUCUUUAUGUCCAAUUGUGGGAGUGAUGCAGAUAAAUUAAUAAAUAGACUAAAAGAAACUGUGGUACACAAAUACAUGACACUUUAUAGUAUCACAAAAAACAUACAUAAACACACUUGGUACAUGUCAUAAGAUCACUCAUAGAGUGACACAGACUUAUUGAACGUAAAUAAACACACAAGCACCACAUAGUUUUGGUAGACCAAUGAGUUUUGGUAGAUUAACAUGGGAAGUAGCAGAUACACCUGUGAUAUGGGAAAACAUAGUUGCAAGAUCCAUGUCGUGCUCCCUCAAGGUUGAUGCACUGGUUCUUGCAAGCAUUGUUAUUUCCACAUACUCCUGACCAUGUCCCACUAGACCUCUCGCACAACUUCUGCGCUUUCACCAUUGUUGGUGCU